AUCUACAUAUACACACAGGCAUAUUGACACACACACGUAUCUAUAUACCUAUUCUUUCUUUUACCAUUAUAGACCCAAUGAACAGAACUAAGCCACUGUUGGAAACACAGGAUGAUUCCUUAUCCUUACUGUAAGGAGAAAAUAUAAUGCUUUCUUUGGGCCACUUUAGGAGAUAAGUUCACUGUUUUAGGACAUCAAUUUUACAUUUAUAUUUGGCGGGGCUAAUAUUAUGGAAUAAAGUCUCCCAGAAAUCGAGGAUGACUUUCGAGUCUAUGUUUUAUGAUUCCAUAUGACUGGAAUAAUGGAAGCAACUUUGAAAAUAAUUAAAAGACAUUUGGAUAUUCUGUAGAGUAAGUGAUAGGGAUUACAGGCCUUGGAGUAUAACAGGGUUCUGAUUCUGGCUAGGCUAUUUACUUCCUAUGUGGGCUUGGGAACAUUACCAGACUUCUCUAAGCCUUGAGUUUCAUCUUUUGUAAAAUGAUAAUAUAGUAUUUACUCCAUAUAGUAAUUGUAAGUUUUAAACAAGAUUGUGAACGUGAAGUAUGUAGUAUGCAUUUUAAUAUUUGGUAUGUAGUACCCAUCAAUUUAUUACUGAAACACCAGGGGUUUGGUCUAAGUCCUGCUGCUUUCCACAUAGAAAGACAAUCAUGAGACAAUGAGAAUUCUGUUUAUUUAACUGGGUGCUGCAGCUGAGGAGAUAGGAUAUCAGUCUGAAAUCCAUUUCCCUGAUCUACUAAAACUGGGAGUUUAUAUAGUGAGGAAGGAAUAUAACUACAUGUGGGUAAACAGGAAUUAGAGAGUGCUAAGGGAGAGGAGUUGGUCAACAGGAAGCAGGUGGUUGGAUAGGCAAUCAUGAUGAGUGAGUGGUCUGGUGUCUCAUUGUCCAGAUACUGUGAUCUGAAAACAACAAUAACAACAACAAAAACUCAAGAAACAGGAAUGCAAGAUCUACGUUUUGUUAAACUAAAGACACCUCUUACUCAUAACAAUCAGAUAUGAAAAAGCGCUGCCACGAGGGCAAGAAUGAUGCUAAGAAAGUCUUUUAUGGCUACAAGUCUUGAAUCAAGCUGACCGAGCAGUUCUUACACUGAGAAGCAACAACAACCUUUUGUUUCAAGAAACAGAUUCUUCAUUGUCCAUCUUUUUUAAUGAGGACUUAGAAUGAAUAUUAUUGACAGAUGGAGCAAGUAUCAUCUGCAUAAGUACAAUUUCUUUCUACAGUAAUGAAUUGAGUUAUAAUCUUAGAAAUCUUCAUUCUGAUUAUUGGGAAUGAGAGGGUUGUAUGAAAUUUUCUGUCAGUUUUCUUUAGGAUGUUGAGGCAGUUUACUUUCUUGGUGCAUGCUGUACAUAUACUAUUGUGUCCAGAAUUAAUCUGGGCCUCUGCUUGAUUUUAUCUCCAGCCCCAACAACUUGUUUGGCAAAUCUCAUGUCCACUUGCCACCUUACUGCCCAAGGGCAAAAGCUAUUGGCAGCUAUGCUGAAAUCUGAUACAACUGGUUUGCAGUUCUUUCACUGCAAACCUAAUGACAAAAUCAAAAUCUACUUGUACUUUUAUAUCUUGAUCACUCUGUUCCUAGGGUGAUUAUAAGAUUUUUGUUUAAUAACUCGAUAUUUAGAAAGUCCUUUUGAUCGCUGAGUAGAUUUAAGUUCCUAUAUUUUAAUGGGCUUCUUUUAAUUCUCUUAUGUCUACCUUAUAUUUUCAGAAAUUCUUCCAUGUUAUACUUGCUAAUGACUUGUGUCUCAGCUCUUUAUUAGGGCUAUAAAUAUAUUUGUACUUUUAUUUUCCUUCUGUCAGUCCAAUGAGAUUUUUAAGAAGAAGAAGAGAAAAGUGCCUCUCAGAUUCCUUGAAUUGUAAAUUUUGACCUUCGUUCUUGUUUUAUUAUUUUCUCCCUUAAGUUUGCCUACAUCUGAUCUGUUCCUAGGUUUAACUAUUCUUAACUAGGCUCUAUUUUUUUAAGACAUAUUUCUAUUCAUUAGAUUUUAUGCAAUUAUGCUUUGGACAUUUUUUUCUUACAUAAUUUUCAUAAACUAUAAGGAUACAGUCUAUCUGAGUCAUGCCAUAACAUUGUGUCCAAGUUUUGAAUAACUGUCUUUUUUCCUGGUUGACAAGAUGUUUAUCAUUAAAAGAAAUUUGAUCACAAUUUUAUGAUAUCUAAAUAUACUCAUUUUUUUGAGAACUGAUUUGACUUUCAAAUUGAAGCAGUGUAACAGAACAACAGAGUUGUAGCACUGACCAUACUGGAUUAUAUAAUCAUACCUUUUCUUCUAAAAAUAAUUACCAAAUACAAAAUCUUAUUUAGUUAAUUCUUACACAACAAACAUCUGUAUUUUAAUUCUACACGUUUUUCUCCAUUUUCACACAUCCAAGAUCCAGCCUAGAGGAUGAAAUAUGAUCUACGUUAUUAUUAGGAAAGAAAUCAGAAGUGAAGGUAUGAGUCAAUGUCAUUCCCACAAAAGUCUUCUGAAUUAGGGAUACUUGAGAUGAAACAGGACAAAAUUAAGAACGAGAGUAGCUAAAAUCAAGAAGUAAAGGGUCUGUACAAUAGAAAUCAGCAUCUCAAAUAGGGACCCCAGAAAGCUCAGCAUAGAUAUUAAUAGACAGCAUGUGGACAGUUGGCAAUAGGACAGCCCUUUUCAUUAGGCAUAAAAGACAUAUUGUUCCUUUUAUAAAAAUAAUGGGACAUUAUUGAAACAAAUACACAUAUUAUCUCUGAAUCCCAUAGGAUAAUUGCAUAAAAGGAACCUGGAAAAAUUGCUUAAGUCCCUAGAACUUUAUUGUUUUUUUUU